UGCCCCAUGGCUGAGUUGGUUACAGCGUCCGACUGUUAUUCCAUUUGUUUGAAGCUUCUUACAUCGGAAGGUCGAGAGUUCGAGCCUCUCUGGGGCAG